AUCACUUGUUCUCUAAAUAGGGACUUGUAUGAAUGGCCACACGAGGGUUUUACUGGCUCUUGCUUCCAAUCAGUGAAAUUGACCUUCCCGUGAAGAGGCGGGAAUACAUUAAUAAGACGAGAAGACCCUAUGGAGCUUUAACUACUUGACCCAAAGAAAUAAAUUUCAUCGCUAAGGAAACAACAACACUCUUCAUGGGCCAACAGCUUUGGUUGGGGUGACCUCGGAGAACAAGAAAUCCUCCGAGCGAUUUUAAAGACUAGACCUACAAGUCGAAUCACACAAUCGUUUAUUGAUCCAAAAAA
rnacentral:rRNA from 1 species